rnacentral:rRNA from 1 species
UACGUAGGGUGCGAGCGUUAAUCGGAAUUACUGGGCGUAAAGCGUGCGCAGGCGGCGCUGCAAGUCAGGCGUGAAAUCCCCGAGCUCAACUUGGGAAUUGCGCUUGAAACUACGGUGCUGGAGUGUGGCAGAGGGAGGUGGAAUUCCACGUGUAGCGGUGAAAUGCGUAGAGAUGUGGAGGAACACCGAUGGCGAAGGCAGCCUCCUGGGCCAACACUGACGCUCAUGCACGAAAGCGUGGGGAGCAAACAGG